CUUCUCUGGUUUCUGCUCAGAUUGUGUAAAUCUUUCACCUUUUACUAAAGAUUUCUGUGGAGAGGAGUGUUUAGGAGUUUCUAUCCAAUCUUUUGAGGCUUCACUUCAGUGAGGUA
ensembl:snRNA U5 U5 spliceosomal RNA